UACAGAGGUCUCAAGCGUUGUUCGGAUUCAUUGGGCGUAAAGGGCGCGUAGGCGGCAAGGCAAGUCGGGUGUGAAAGCUUGGGGCUUAACCCCGAAAGGGCACUCGAAACUGCGUUGCUAGAGGGCCGGAGAGGAGAUCGGAAUUCACGGUGUAGCAGUGAAAUGCGUAGAGCUCGUGAGGAAGACCGGUGGCGAAGGCGGAUCUCUGGACGGCCCCUGACGCUGAGGCGCGAAGGCUAGGGGAGCAAACGGG
rnacentral:rRNA from 1 species